rnacentral:tRNA from 1 species
GCCUCCGUGGCACAAUCGGUUAGCGCGUUCGGCUGUUAACCGAAAGGUUGGUGGUUCGAGCCCACCCAAGGCG